AGUGAACGCUGGCGGUAGGCCUAACACAUGCAAGUCGAACGGCAGCACAGUAAGAGCUUGCUCUUACGGGUGGCGAGUGGCGGACGGGUGAGGAAUACAUCGGAAUCUACUUUUUCGUGGGGGAUAACGUAGGGAAACUUACGCUAAUACCGCAUACGACCUACGGGUGAAAGCAGGGGAUCUUCGGACCUUGCGCGAUUGAAUGAGCCGAUGUCGGAUUAGCUAGUUGGCGGGGUAAAGGCCCACCAAGGCGACGAUCCGGAGCUGGUCUGAGAGGAGGAUCAGCGACAGUGGAAAUGAGCAACGGUCCAGACCGCUACGGGACGCAGCAGGGGGGAAUAGUGGACAAUGGGGGAAAGUCUGAUCCAGCCAUGACGGGGAAGGGAAGAAGGUCUUCGGAUUGUAAAGUACGCGAAGUUGGAAGGAAGGGCAGUAAGUUAAUACCGUGCGGUUUUGACGUUACAAAAAGAAUAAGCACCGGCUAACUUCGUG
rnacentral:rRNA from 1 species